GUGCUCGCUUCGGCAGCACAUAUACUAAAAUUGGAACGAUACAGAGAAGAUUAGCAUGAAAAAUAAGGAUAUGACAAGAAUUUGUUUGUAUUGUUUGUCUUUUCU